rnacentral:tRNA from 1 species
CAAUCAGGUCAGACAGGAGUCGAACCUGCAACACCCGGUUUUGGAGACCGGUGCUCUACCAAUUGAACUACUGACCCA